rnacentral:lncRNA from 1 species
UUAUCAUUUAUAGAACUUGCACAAUGUCUCAUUUAGCAAAACAGGGCAGACUUGGACAGUUUUGACAUAUCUAGCUAAUCCAAUUUUUAUAAAAAUACAAAACGACCUCAAAUCAUGAUAUUCAAAGAAUACAAACCAAAGACUAAUCACAUAACCACAUUAUAAAAACAACAAAAGCAGAUUUGGACGUGUGGUUAUUAAGUUAUGCAUUUUUGAAAAUGAAGUACGCA